rnacentral:rRNA from 1 species
AUGCUUGUCAUAUACUACAUAACUAUUAUCGGUUGGUUGUGUCAGUGGCAUACUGUUUUCAAUGUUUUUGGAACUCCAUUUGCAAUGUGUAUUAGUAAUACUGUUUUCUGUUGUGAACCCUGGAAGUGUAUCACCACCAAACAGAUGGUAGACGAUCAUAUUGUGACUAUCUUAUUGGAACUCCAUUUGCAAUGUGUAUUAGUAAUACUCUGUUGUGAACCUUGGAAGUGUAUCACCACAGAACAGAUGGUACACGGACAUGUUGUGACCAUCUUAUUGGAGAAGUGUUCGAGCUUACUUGGUUACUCUUGA